UGUCAUGCCACUGCUUCGUCCUUUCCUUGUAGAUGGCUGCAUUCUCAUAUGCUUCUCUUCUGAAUUCUUCCAAUUCAUGUAGCUGCAGUAUUCUUGUUUCUCCUGCCUUUUCGAGGUCCAUGUUUAGCUGCUUCAAUGCCCAGUAUGCUCUAUGUUCAAAUUCCACUGGUAGGUGACAUGCUUUUCCAAAAACUAGUCGAUAUGGGGACAUUCCAAUAGGUGUCUUGUACGCAGUGCGAUAUGCCCAUAAAGCAUCGUCUAAUUUCUUUGACCAAUCCUUGCGAGAUGCAUUCACAGUGAGCUCCAGAA
rnacentral:lncRNA from 1 species